rnacentral:rRNA from 1 species
UACGAAGGGGGCUAGCGUUGUUCGGAAUUACUGGGCGUAAAGCGCGCGCAGGCGGUUUCUCAAGUCAGUGGUGAAAGCCCGGAGCUCAACUCCGGAACUGCCAUUGAAACUGUGAAACUUGAGGACGAGAGAGGUGAGUGGAAUUCCCAGUGUAGAGGUGAAAUUCGUAGAUAUUGGGAAGAACACCGGUGGCGAAGGCGGCUCACUGGCUCGUUUCUGACGCUCAGGCGCGACAUCGUGGGGAUCAAACAGG